ACCCACCGCUGCCACCU
rnacentral:miRNA from 1 species